rnacentral:tRNA from 1 species
GCCUAGCUCAGGGGAUAGAGCACCGCUCUCCUAAAGCGGGUGUCGCAGGUUCGAAUCCUGCCGGGGGCACCA